rnacentral:rRNA from 1 species
UGCUGCGCAGCUUACCAUGCAAGUCGAGCGGUAACAGGGGGUGCUUGCACCCCGCUGACGAGCGGCGGACGGGUGAGUAAUGCAUAGGAAUCUGCCCAGUAGUGGGGGAUAGCCCGGGGAAACCCGGAUUAAUACCGCAUACGCCCUUUGGGGGAAAGCAGGGGAUCUUCGGACCUUGCGCUAUUGGAUGAGCCUAUGUCGGAUUAGCUAGUUGGUGGGGUAAAGGCCUACCAAGGCGACGAUCCGUAGCUGGUCUGAGAGGAUGAUCAGCCACAUCGGGACUGAGACACGGCCCGAACUCCUACGGGAGGCAGCAGUGGGGAAUAUUGGACAAUGGGGGCAACCCUGAUCCAGCCAUGCCGCGUGUGUGAAGAAGGCUUUCGGGUUGUAAAGCACUUUCAGUGAGGAGGAAAACCUUCUGGUUAAUACCCAUGAGGCUUGACGUUACUCACAGAAGAAGCACCGGCUAACUCCGUGCCAGCAGCCGCGGUAAUACGGAGGGUGCAAGCGUUAAUCGGAAUUACUGGGCGUAAAGCGCGCGUAGGUGGUUUGAUAAGCGAGAUGUGAAAGCCCCGGGCUUAACCUGGGAACGGCAUUUCGAACUGUCAGG